AACCCCUGUGAACAUACCUUAUGUUGCCUCGGCGGAUCAGCCCGCGCCCCGUAAAAAGGGACGGCCCGCCGCAGGAACCCUAAACUCUGUUUUUAGUGGAACUUCUGAGUAUAAAAAACAAAUAAAUCAAAACUUUCAACAACGGAUCUCUUGGUUCUGGCAUCGAUGAAGAACGCAGCAAAAUGCGAUAAGUAAUGUGAAUUGCAGAAUUCAGUGAAUCAUCGAAUCUUUGAACGCACAUUGCGCCCGCCAGUAUUCUGGCGGGCAUGCCUGUUCGAGCGUCAUUUCAACCCUCAAGCCCAGCUUGGUGUUGGGAGCUGCAGUCCUGCUGCACUCCCCAAAUACAUUGGCGGUCACGUCGAGCUUCCAUAGCGUAGUAAUUUACAUAUCGUUACUGGUAAUCGUCGCGGCCACGCCGUUAAACCCCAACUUCUGAAUGUUGACCUCGGAUCAGGUAGGAAUACCCGCUGAACUUAAGCAUAUCAAUAAGCGGAGGA
rnacentral:rRNA from 2 species